AUUGAACGCUGGCGGCAUGCCUUACACAUGCAAGUCGAACGGCAGCAUGGAGAGCUUGCUCUCUGAUGGCGAGUGGCGAACGGGUGAGUAAUGCAUCGGAACGUACCGUGUAAUGGGGGAUAACGUAGCGAAAGUUACGCUAAUACCGCAUACGACCAGAGGGUGAAAGAAGGGGAUCGCAAGACCUUGCGUUAUACGAGCGGCCGAUGUCAGAUUAGAUAGUUGGUGAGGUAAAGGCUCACCAAGGCGACGAUCUGUAGCGGGUCUGAGAGGAUGAUCCGCCACACUGGGACUGAGACACGGCCCAGACUCCUACGGGAGGCAGCAGUGGGGAAUUUUGGACAAUGGGGGCAACCCUGAUCCAGCCAUGCCGCGUGAGUGAAGAAGGCCUUCGGGUUGUAAAGCUCUUUCGGCCGGGAAGAAAUCGCACAGGCUAAUACUCUGUGUGGAUGACGGUACCGGCAUAAGAAGCACCGGCUAACUACGUGCCAGCAGCCGCAGUAA
rnacentral:rRNA from 1 species